rnacentral:rRNA from 1 species
CAUGCUAGAGCACUUUUUCAAUGUGCUCUCCAACGAGAAAGCGACGACGCAUUCGUAUGUCAAUCCAUAUUAGCUUUCGAUGCCAUUGACUGCGCUUACCAUGGUGACCACGGGUAAUGGGGAAUCAGGGUUCCAUUCCAUACAGGGACCCUGACAAAUGGCUACCACAUGCAAGGAAGGCAG